rnacentral:rRNA from 1 species
UACGUAGGGUGCAAGCGUUGUCCGGAAUUAUUGGGCGUAAAGAGCUCGUAGGCGGUCUGUUGCGUCCGCUGUGAAAACUCGGGGCUCAACCCCGAGCCUGCAGUGGAUACGGGCAGACUAGAGGUAGGUAGGGGAGAAUGGAAUUCCCGGUGUAGCGGUGAAAUGCGCAGAUAUCGGGAGGAACACCGGUGGCGAAGGCGGCAUCCUGGACCAACACUGACACUGAGGAGCGAAAGCCAGGGGAGCAAACGGG